rnacentral:rRNA from 1 species
GACGAACGCUGGCGGCGUGCUUAACACAUGCAAGUCGAACGGAAAGGCCCUGCUUUUGUGGGGUGCUCGAGUGGCGAACGGGUGAGUAACACGUGAGUAACCUGUCCCUGACUUUGGGGUAACUUCAGGAAACUGGGGCUAAUACCGGCUAGGAGCUACUGCUGCAUGGUGGGGGUUGGAAAGUUUCGGCGGUUGGGGAUGGACUCGCGGCUUAUCCGCUUGUUGGUGGGGUAGUGGCUUAACAAGGCUUUGACGGGUAGCCGGCCUGGGAGGGUGACCGGCCACAUUGGGUCUGAGAUACGGCCCAGCCUCCUACGGGACGCAGCAGUGGGGAGUAUUGCACAGUAGGCGGGAGCCUGAUGCGGCAACGCCGCGUGCGGGAUGACGUCCUUCGGGUUGUAAACCACUUUCGCCUGUGACGAAGCGUGAGUGACGGUAAUGGGUAAAGAAGCACCGGCUAACUACGUG